UAGUUAGCGCUAGUUUUUCUCAAACUUUUUCUCCCUCUCUCACGAGUAAAAACCUUUUACUUAGCCUUUCCAAACGUUUCUUCCCUCUCUCUUUCUCAAAACCCUUGAAAUUCCUAAACUCCUUAAAUACUUGUUGCUCGAUAUCAAGCAUUGUCUGGCUAAACAAAAUUCUUGUCAAUCACUCGGCAUUAUUCGGCUACAUCAAGAGCUGGCGUGUAGUGAGAAAGAUGCAACCUCGUGAUUCCUAUGAGAUUGUCCAACAACUAGAUGAUGAUAUUGUAGAUUUAGAAAAUCACAUACAAAAUAAACGAAAAAGAACGAAUGAGGUUUAAUAUGAAACCACUAAAGACUGGAAAUGAGGUGGGAUCCCCUAUGAAGUCUACUAGCAAAUAUACAUUCAUUGCACCUGGUGCUAUAGGUAAGGACUGAGGGCGAGGGCGAGAGAUUAGAUGUAUGUGCUCUGUGGGGUUGUCUGAUUCUACCAUGACUGCUGCUCAAGAAAUACAUACUGAUAUUACAUUUUAUACUUCUACUGAUGAAAUUAUGAAAUACAUUUAAACGGGUGAAACAAGUGCUAUAGCAAAGGGACGAGGGCGGGGGCUUAGAUCUAUGUGCUCUUCGGGAAUGUUAGAAAUAAGCCGGAAUCAUCCUUCCAUAAGAGGAGUCUUCAUGCUAGUCAAAGUGUUCCAAGAAUUUAUAGCAACUCAAGAUCAGAUUCUACAUUGUCUGCUGAUCAAGAAAUGCGAAGGACGAUUAAAAUCCCCUCGGUUAUUGAGAAAGAGCAUAUGCAAAUUGAUGUUUCAUUUUCUCCAUCUACUGAUAAAGCUAUACAAUCCCCCCAAACAGUCGAACCAAGUGCCAUAGGGAUGGGACGAGGACGAGGGCGAGGGCGAGAGCUUAAAUCGUUGUCCUCUUCAGGGUUUUUUUGGAAAUAAGGUGGGAUCCUUUCAUUAUAAUUCUCUUUACACUAGUCAAGGUAUGCCAAGAACUUCUAACAUGACAAGAUCAGAUUCUACAAUGUUUGCUGCUCAAGAAAUGCAAACAACAAAUAUAAAUCCCUCUGUUCAUGAGAACAAGCAUGUGCAAACUGAUAUUUCAUUUUCUCCAUCUACUAAUCAAGUGAUGGAAUCCACCCAAACAGUUGAACCAAGUUCAUGUACUAGUAAGGUAAAAAAGGUUCGAGGAAGUAACAAGUGCAAAGAAGUUGCAUCACUUGAAGUGGGACAGAAGCUGAAAGUAACAUUUUACAAUAAUCGAACAGUUGGAAAUAAUAGCAAUAUAUUUGCGAGGCACUUGGGAAAAUUAGUUCGUGACCGUAAUAUGUGUCCGUUGGGAGUAUCAUCGUGCGAUGACAUUAAGAGAAAUUAAAUCAUAUGUGGGCAGCUGUCGAGGAUAAAUUUGAGAGUGAGGACAUGGAUAUUCAUCGCGAUCAUAUUUUGAGUUGGAUGAAAGAAUUAUGGAAUAAAUGUAGAGGACGAUUGCAUGCAAAGUAUGUGAAGGGUAAGCCAAUCCAAGAGGCUCUUAGAAAUGUGCCAAAGGGGGUAGACAAGAAACAAUGGGAAUGGUUGAUAAAGGAACAUUUUGCUUCAUAAAGUUUUCAGUUUUCAGGCUCAAAUCCAAGAAUUAGUGAUGUCUGAACCAUCUCUUUCAAGCAUAGAGAUUGUAGAAAACUAUUUUGGACCUCAAACCCGUAGCCAUGUAUUUGGCUUUGGAGGUGGAGUAAAAGCAAAAAACUUGAAAUGUGACGCUUCUUCAAAGGCUGAACUAAUAUCUGAGUUGUGUUCAACUCGAGAAAAAACAAAUCUUUGAAGGAUCAUGUGUCUACAUUAGAAAAUUAGAUGAAAGAAAUGAAGCAACUAGUAUUUGCCCAACACUCCAAUGUCCAGCCUUCGACAUCGACCGUUUCAGGAGAAUGACCAUCUGGUUAACAUACCAACCUCUUUUACGGUGAUGGUUUAUGUUUCUAAUUUGGGCACUUAUUCUGGUUUUGGAGCAACUUACAAGUCAAGAUGCAGCUUUUGGAGACAUAUAUACAAGAUGACUAUCAUUUUGCUAGGAUAUUAUUGCAACAAAAUGUUAUUAUAUUUCUAAUCUAGGGAUAUUAAUUUGGUGUUUUUGCUAUAAAAUUUUGUAAAAGAUAUUGUGACUUACAUCAUGGAUCGUGGCAUUAACAAGAAGUUACGCAAUAUUUGUAAUAGAAAGGUUUAUCUUUAUAUUA